rnacentral:rRNA from 1 species
UGGGGAAUAUUGCGCAAUGGGCGAAAGCCUGACGCAGCAACGCCGCGUGAGCGAUGAAGCCUUUCGGGGUGUAAAGCUCUGUCAAGAGGAAUGAUUAUGACAGUACCUCUAGAGGAAGUCACGGCUAAUUACGUGCCAGCAGCCGCGGUAAUACGUAAGUGGCAAGCGUUAUCCGGAUUUACUGGGCAUAAAGAGCGUGUAGGUGGUAUCUUAAGUCAGGUGUAAAAGGCUACAGCUUAACUGUAGUAAGCAUUUGAAACUGAGAUACUUGAGGUCAGUAGAGGAAAGUGGAACUCACAGUGUAGCGGUGAAAUGCGUAGAUAUUGUGAGGAACACCAGUGGCGAAGGCGACUUUCUGGACUGAAUCUGACACUAAAGCGCGAAAGCGUGGGGAGCGAACGGG